rnacentral:rRNA from 1 species
CACGUGGGGAACCUGCCCCAUAGUCUGGGAUACCACUUGGAAACAGGUGCUAAUACCGGAUAAGAAAGCAGAUCGCAUGAUCAGCUUUUAAAAGGCGGCGUAAGCUGUCGCUAUGGGAUGGCCCCGCGGUGCAUUAGUUAGUUGGUAAGGUAAAGGCUUACCAAGGCGAUGAUGCAUAGCCGAGUUGAGAGACUGAUCGGCCACAUUGGGACUGAGACACGGCCCAAACUCCUACGGGAGGCAGCAGGC